UACAGAGGGGGCAAGCGUUGUUCGGAAUUACUGGGCGUAAAGGGCGCGUAGGCGGCCCGCUAAGUCGAACGUGAAAUCCCUGGGCUCAACCCAGGAACUGCGUCCGAUACUGGCAGGCUUGAAUCCGGGAGAGGGAUGUGGAAUUCCAGGUGUAGCGGUGAAAUGCGUAGAUAUCUGGAGGAACACCGGUGGCGAAGGCGGCAUCCUGGACCGGCAUUGACGCUGAGGCGCGAAAGCCAGGGGAGCAAACGGGG
rnacentral:rRNA from 1 species